rnacentral:rRNA from 1 species
GGAAACAAGAUGCUAAUAACCGGAUAACAACAGAUGAUGCCUAUCAACUGUUUAAAAGAUGGUUCUGCUAUCACUCUUGGAUGGACCUGCGGUGCAUUAGCUAGUUGGUAGGGUAACGGCCUACCAAGGCGAUGAUGCAUAGCCGAGUUGAGAGACUGAUCGGCCACAUUGGGACUGAGACACGGCCCCAAACUCCUACGGGGGCAGCAGCU